UACAGGGGGGGCAAGCGUUGUUCGGAAUUACUGGGCGUAAAGGGCGCGUAGGCGGCCUUCUAAGUCGAACGUGAAAUCCCCGGGCUCAACCCGGGAACUGCGUCCGAGACUGAAAGGCUUGAAUCCGGGAGAGGGAUGUGGAAUUCCAGGUGUAGCGGUGAAAUGCGUAGAUAUCUGGAGGAACAUCGGUGGCGAAGGCGGCAUCCUGGACCGGUAUUGACGCUGAGGCGCGAAAGCCAGGGGAGCGAAUGGG
rnacentral:rRNA from 1 species